rnacentral:rRNA from 1 species
UACGUAGGGUGCGAGCGUUGUCCGGAAUUAUUGGGCGUAAAGAGCUCGUAGGCGGUGUGUCACGUCGGCCGUGAAAACCUGCAGCUUAACUGUGGGCGUGCGGUCGAUACGGGCAUCACUGGAGUUCGGCAGGGGAGACUGGAAUUCCUGGUGUAGCGGUGAAAUGCGCAGAUAUCAGGAGGAACACCGGUGGCGAAGGCGGGUCUCUGGGCCGAUACUGACGCUGAGGAGCGAAAAGCGUGGGGGAGCGAACAGG